UUUGUGAGAAAGACGUUGCCUUUGCAGUAC
rnacentral:piRNA from 1 species